AUCUAUGGCCAUACCACUCUGAAUGCACCCGAUCUUGUUUAAUAUGGGAAGCUAAGCAGGGCCAGGCCUGGUGAGUACUUGGAUCAGAGAAAGAGAUUCCAUAUCAC
rnacentral:rRNA from 1 species